UGUAAACGUCAUAAAUCUGUU
rnacentral:piRNA from 1 species